AGUGAACGCUGGCGGUAGGCCUAACACAUGCAAGUCGAACGGCAGCACAGUAAGAGCUUGCUCUUACGGGUGGCGAGUGGCGGACGGGUGAGGAAUACAUCGGAAUCUACUUUUUCGUGGGGGAUAACGUAGGGAAACUUACGCUAAUACCGCAUACGACCUACGGGUGAAAGCAGGGGAUCUUCGGACCUUGCGCGAUUGAAUGAGCCGAUGUCGGAUUAGCUAGUUGGCGGGGUAAAGACCCACCAAGGCGACGAUCCGUAGCUGGUCUGAGAGGAUGAUCAGCCACACUGGAACUGAGACACGGUCCAGACUCCUACGGGAGGCAGCAGUGGGGAAUAUUGGACAAUGGGCGCAAGCCUGAUCCAGCCAUACCGCGUGGGUGAAGAAGGCCUUCGGGUUGUAAAGCCCUUUUGUUGGGAAAGAAAAGCAGCAGGUUAAUACCCCGCUGUCCUGACGGUACCCAAAGAAUAAGCACCGGCUAACUUCGUG
rnacentral:rRNA from 1 species